rnacentral:rRNA from 1 species
GACGAACGCUGGCGGCGUGCUUAACACAUGCAAGUCGAGCGGAGCGGCGAACGGGUGAGUAACGCGUGAGUAACUGCCCCCCUCUCUGGGAUAACAGUUGGAAACGGCUGCCAAUACCUGAUAGUGGGGGAUGACUCGCGUCCUAUCAGCUUGUUGGUGGGGUAGUGGCAUACCAAGGGGACGACGGGUAGCCGGCCUGGGAGGGGGACCGGCCACAAUGGUCUGAGGUACGGCGCAGACGCCUACGGGAGGCAAGAGUGGGGAGUAUGGCGCAAUGAGGGAGAGCGUGUGGCAGCAGCGCCGCGAGCGGGAUGACGGCCUUCGGGUUGUAAACCGCUUUCAGCCAUGACGCGGUAGUGGCAGAAGAAGCACCGGCUAACUACGUGCCAGCCGCCGCGGUAAUUC